GACGAACGCUGGCGGCAUGCCUAACACAUGCAAGUCGAGCGAGGUGAGUUCUUCGGAACGAUCCUAGCGGCGGACGGGUGAGUAACACGUGGGCAACCUGCCUCAUAGAGGGGAAUAGCCUUCCGAGAGGAAGAUUAAUACCGCAUAAGAUUGCAUCUUCGCAUGAAGAAGCAAUUAAAGGAGCAAUCCGCUAUGAGAUGGGCCCGCGGCGCAUUAGCUAGUUGGUGAGGUAACGGCUCACCAAGGCGACGAUGCGUAGCCGACCUGAGAGGGUGAUCGGCCACAUUGGGACUGAGACACGGCCCAGACUCCUACGGGAGGCAGCAGUGGGGAAUAUUGCACAAUGGGGGAAACCCUGAUGCAGCAAUGCCGCGUGAGUGAUGACGGCCUUCGGGUUGUAAAGCUCUGUCUUCGGGGACGAUAGUGACGGUACCCGAGGAGGAAGCCACGGCUAACUACGUGCCAGCCGCCGCGGUAA
rnacentral:rRNA from 1 species